CCUACGGGAGGCAGCAGUGGGGAAUAUUGCGCAAUGGGCGCAAGCCUGAUCCAGCAACGCCGCGUGAAUGAAGAAGGCUUUCGGGUUGUAAACUUCUUUUGUCAGGGACGAAGCCAUUGACGUUACCUGACUAAUCAGUCGCUGCUAACUACGUGCCAGCAGCCGCGGUACUACGUGGGUGGCAAGCGUUAACCGGAUUUACUGGGUGUAAAGGGCGUGAAGGCGGGGAAUCAAGGCAGAUGUGAAAACCACGGACGUAACCUGUGAACUGCAUUUGAUACUGUUUUUCUUGAGUGCUGGAGAGGAGAGUGGAAGUCCAUGUGUAGCGGUGAAAUGCGUAGAGAUGCGGAGGAACACCAGUGGCGAAGGCGGAUUGCUGGACAGUAACUGACGCUGAGGCGCGAAAGCGUGGGGAGCAAACAGGAUUAGAUACCCCGGUAGUC
rnacentral:rRNA from 1 species